AUUGAACGCUAGCGGCAUGCUUAACACAUGCAAGUCGAGCGAAAAGACGGACAUCUUGCUCGUCUCGCGUUGCCGACGGAUGGGUGAGUAAUCCGAAGGUGACCAAUAUCUGAGGAUGACUUCGCUUAAGGGUACCGAAGCCAACAUACGCCCUUAUAUUGAAAGGCAUGGAUCAAUAGUGCUAGCAGGAUUUGCUCUCCCGUUUACGUGUAUCCGCGCCGCAUUAGCUAGUUGGUAAGGUAACGGCUUACCAAGGCAACGAUGCGUAGCCGACCUGAGAGGGUGACCAGCCACACUGGAACUGAGACACGGCCCAGACUCCUACGGGAGGCAGCAGUAGGGAAUUUUCCACAAUGGGCGAAAGCCUGACGGAGCAACGCCGCGUGAGUGAUGAAGGUCUUCGGGUCGUAAAACUCUGUUAGCAGGGAAGAACAAAUGUGUAAUUAACUAUGCACGUCUUGACGGUACCUAAUCAGAAAGCCACGGCUAACUACGUG
rnacentral:rRNA from 1 species